GAUGAACGCUAGCGGCAGGCCUAAUACAUGCAAGUCGAACGGAUAUAUGUUUUUCGGAAUAUAUAUUAGUGGCGCACGGGUGAGUAACACGUACAUAACUUGCCCUCAAGCGGGGGAUUGCCUUGGGAAACUGAGAGUAAUACCCCAUAGAAUUAUUGGACGGCAUCGUUUGAUAAUUAAAACUACGGUGCUUGGGGAUAGAUGUGCGUCUGAUUAGCUAGUUGGUGAGGUAACUGCUCACCAAGGCGACGAUCAGUAGGGGGCGUGAGAGCGUGGCCCCCCCACACGGGUACUGAGACACGGACCCGACUCCUACGGGAGGCAGCAGUAAGGAAUAUUGGUCAAUGGAGGCAACUCUGAACCAGCCAUUCCGCGUGAAGGAUGAAUGCCCUCUGGGUUGUAAACUUCUUUAGUCUGGGAAGAAAAACAUAUAUUCAUAUAUGUCUGACGGUACCAGAAGAAUAAGCACCGGCUAACUCCGUGCCAGCAGCCGCGGUAAAGUAG
rnacentral:rRNA from 1 species